rfam:Physcomitrella patens subsp. patens PHYPAscaffold_41 genomic scaffold, whole genome shotgun sequence.
ACAAUGGCCUUACAAGAGGCCACACAAAAUUGACAAAAGCAAUAUGU